rnacentral:rRNA from 1 species
ACGCUCGACACCUACGGGAGGCAGCAGUGGGGAAUAUUGCACAAUGGGGGAAACCCUGAUGCAGCGACGCCGCGUGAGUGAAGAAGUAUUUCGGUAUGUAAAGCUCUAUCAGCAGGGAANAAAAUGACGGUACCUGACUAAGAAGCCCCGGCUAACUACGUGCCAACAGCCGCGGUAAUCUGAGCGGGCUGGCAAGGC